rnacentral:rRNA from 1 species
GCUACCUGCUGACGAGCGGCGGACGGGUGAGUACAGCCUAGGAAUCUGCCUGGUAGUGGGGGAUAACUCGGGGAAACUCGAGCUAAUACCGCAUACGUCCUACGGGAGAAAGUGGGGGAUCUUCGGACCUCACGCUAUCGGAUGAGCCUAGGUCGGAUUAGCUAGUUGGUGAGGUAAUGGCUCACCAAGGCGACGAUCCGUAACUGGUCUGAGAGGAUGAUCAGUCACACUGGAACUGAGACACGGUCCAGACUCCUACGGGAGGCAGCAGUGGGGAAUAUUGGACAAUGGGCGCAAGCCUGAUCCAGCCAUGCCGCGUGUGUGAAGAAGGUCUUCGGAUUG